UGGUCACAUGGGCAGUUGGGGGUCACGUGCCCAGCAGGAAACAAGUCACUGUGGCCACAUACCCCACCCCGCCCCGUGGUAAUGGAAGGGGGCAGUUAGCCUCACCUCAAACCCACAAAUGGCUUUCUAACAGAACUGGGGAGAUUACAGUAAAGAAAAGAAACCUGACAUGUGUCACAUUUUUCAGCACAUGAGUCCAUCACUACGACUUCACUGCCAUCAUCACUGCUACUCAUUCGCAGUACUAAAUGGAACCGGAAAUUUCUGAUGAGGAAAAUGUCUUCUGGGGAGGGAUGGAGGGACAACAGUCUUUUGCAAAGGCGUGUCGAUGAAUAAAAGCUCGUGCCUGAGGUGAGAACUGGACAAAAAUACAGAAAAAAAACCACAGCAUCUGGAGGACUUUUCCCCAGGGGCUGAGGACCUUGGUUAAGCCCACACCAAAACACAGUGACGAGGCCAAUUACAUUUGUAGUCAUUUUAAAAAAUAAUAAAUGAUAAAUCAACAAAAGGGCCCGAGCAACAGAGAAGGAGCUUCCUUUCCCCUCCUCCUCCUGGGAGAAGGCAGAUGUGCAGGUGCCGAAUGGAGUGGAUGUUCUUCCCACCUCCGUUCUAUAGACAACCAAGAUGGGACUCAGGAAGACGGCCGUAUUGAGUGUUCUGAUGCCCACCUCUCCAGCAUCUCCGACCUGACUCUGGUGCCAAUCUCAGCAACCUCCCAAGAUCAGGUGGCGAGUAGGUGGGAGAGGACCAGGUCUGGCUGGCUCUAGAGCACACGUUCCACUCCACCGAGGAAUCUGGGGUACGUAACGGUCAAAAUUUUGCAACCGAUAUGGCAGCUACUAUUUGUCGCUGGAGCACACGUGGACCUUUUGUUACCCUUUUCUCCGCUGCAAGAAGAGACCCGGCUUCUAGUCUGCCUAGCAUCCCAUCCUGGCUUUCUGGCCUUGUCACCAAUACAGCCAACAUGCACCCCACCAGAUUCCUCCAACUCUCCGCACCUGACAGGGUGCCGCAUGUACUAACGGGAUCUGUGAGUGUGUCCCCUUACGGAUCCCAUCGCGCUAUCUGAAAAAACAGUGGGAAAUCUACCAGACUCUUCGCAAGAAAAGUGAAACGUGGUUCACCGUUGGCUGUUCCCUGCAGGUCAGGCCCAUCCACGUGUGACUCUGGAGAGGACGGGAGGUGGAGGCAGCCCCUUGUUUCCUGCCCACCCACCCUCACCACCUCAGGCGUGGCUCAGAAUUACUCCCCUCUGUGUGUCUUCCACCACAGCGGAGACGCUGUUAAGACACCGCCUCGUCCAGAACAGCACGUCCUUCGUCAGCCCCUGUGACCUGCCGGGCCGGCACCUUGCCCCUGCUGGGACCUCAUCACAUCAGCUCUCCUCCCCCCCUCCAAACUCUCCUCCACACCAGGGACAAACCUCAACAACGCACACUGGGUGCAUUCUGUGGCUCCCCCUUUCAUCCCGAAUGAAGUCCCAGUUCCACGGCUCUGGCCCUCCCUUCAGCCGUAUCUCACCCGACCUCUCCUUUACACACCUGGACCAUUUUCCAAAUGGCACGCCUGACACUUCCCCCCACAGACACCAUUCUGCCUCACUUCCAGUGUCACUGUGAGGACGCCACUUAACUUUCUGGAUGGUAGCUUCAAACUAGUAAAAAACGGAGAUCUGCUCAACUCCCUCACAAGAUUGCUUCACAUUAUACAUGUGGUGCAGACCUCGAAAUACGUGCUACUUGGAGAUGUUAACAACGAGGAGCCCAGGGCAGCUGGUGACUGCGUAAGACGGGGCCAGUUAUGUGACACCCCCCCCCCAGUGCCUCCUCCCCCUGCCUGAAACACGGGAACAAGAGUAGGACCUACCUCACAGCGUUGCAGUGAGAACUGAGUGGUUUAGACCCUUUGCCGAGCACCUGAUGCGUGAUGGACAACGAGGAAUCAUCAUCACUGACCAGGAGAACAAAGGCAAAAGACAGGAAGGUAAAAUUAAAUUUCCUUAGAACUUGCAACCUCCUUGAGGCAGGCAGACCACAGGAACUCACGACCGCAUGAAGCAUAAUGCAUAAAGCAUUAACGUUAAUGCUUUGCUAGAGGCAAAAAGCCACCUUAGCUUGACAACAGCCAGACCUCCAGGAUCCCGCAAGACCUCUUCAACAUGCGAACAUCAUCAUUUUGGAAACUUCCUUUAUUUCUACCUGCCCCCAACUUAAAAGUAUAUGAACAACUGCUGCUCACAAUCCCAGUGCAGCUAGCUCUUCCUGCCCAGGGGUCCUCUCCCUGUGCCUUUAAUAAAACCACUUUUUGGCACUAAAAA